UACAGGGGGGGGCAAGCGUUGUUCGGAAUUACUGGGCGUAAAGGGCCAGUAGGCGGCCAACUAAGUCGGAUGUGAAAUCCCCAGGCUCAACUUGGGAACUGCAUCCGAUACUGGAUGGCUUGAAUUCGGGAGAGGGAUGCAGAAUUCCAGGUGUAGCGGUGAAAUGCGUAGAUAUCGGAAGGAACACCGGUGGCGAAAGCGGCGCGCUGGACCUCUUCUGACGCUGAGGCGCGAAAGCUAGGGGAGCAAACGGG
rnacentral:rRNA from 1 species